rnacentral:rRNA from 1 species
AACGAACGCUGGCGGCGUGCCUAACACAUGCAAGUCGAGCGCGAAUAGGGGCAACCCUUAGUAGAGCGGCGCACGGGUGCGUAACACGUGGGUAAUCUGCCUGGGAGAUUGGGAUAACCUGCCGAAAGGCUGGCUAAUACCAGAUAAGCUCACGGGCUCUUCGGAGCCUGAGAGAAAAGGUGGCCUCUGUAUACAAGCUAUCACUUCCAGAUGAGCCCGCGGCCCAUCAGCUAGUUGGCGGGGUAAUGGCCCACCAAGGCAACGACGGGUAGCUGGUCUGAGAGGACGAUGAGCCACGCUAGAACUGAGACACGGUCCAGAGUCCUACGGGAGGCAGCAGUGGGUAAUUUUGCACAAUGGGCGAAGGCCUGAUGCAGCAACGCCGCGUGUGUGAUGAAGGUCUUCGGAUUGUAAAGCACUUUCGACCGGGACGAAAACCCGUUGGCUAACAUCCAGCGGCUUGACGGUACCGGGAGAAGAAGCACCGGCUAACUCUGUGCCAGCCGCCGCAGUAA